GCCGAGAUGGCGGAAUUGGCAGACGCGGUAGACUCAAAAUCUACUGAGGGUGAAACCUCGUGUGGGUUCAAGUCCCACUCUCGGCA
rnacentral:tRNA from 1 species